rnacentral:misc_RNA from 1 species
AAGUCGUAACAAGGUUUCCGUAGGUGAACCUGCGGAAGGAUCAUUAACACUUUCUUUCAAUACAAACUCUUGGCGCUCCCUGCUCGGCCAUCGCCCCGAUUAUGGGCUAACAACCCUAGUCGCGUCACUUUGGUGCCCUUAUUUCGAUAAGGCUUGCGGGGAAAAUAGAACGAAUCUGUUGGAGAGAAGGCCUGCGGAUCGGGCUGAAUCGCAUUUGCGAUAGGUCCAAGGGCAGCUGCUUCGCGCAUCGACUUCUCUUUUUCAGAUAUCAGCCCCAACCCGGCUGGCAAUUUUCUUUUCACUUGUAAGAUUGUACUGAUUUGGGCUUUUCAGAUUGAGAGGAGCAAUCCUUUCUCUGGAGUCCUGAUGGAGAAAUCCAUUAAAUAACAAAACACAACUCUUAACAGCGGAUAUCUCGGUUCUC